rnacentral:rRNA from 1 species
UACUCCUACGGGAGGCAGCAGUAGGGAAUCUUCGGCAAUGGACGAAAGUCUGACCGAGCAACGCCGCGUGAGUGAAGAAGGUUUUCGGAUCGUAAAACUCUGUUGGUAGAGAAGAACGUUGGUGAGAGUGGAAAGCUCAUCAAGUGACGGUAACUA